UACGUACCGUCCAAACGUUAUUCGGAAUCACUGGGCUUAAAGAGUUCGUCGGCGGCUCAGAAAGUUGGGUGUGAAAUCCCUCGGCUCAACCGAGGAAUUGCGCUCAAAACUACUGAGCUAGAGGGAGAUAGAGGUGAGCGGAACUGAUGGUGGAGCGGUGAAAUGCGUUGAUAUCAUCAGGAACACCGGAGGCGAAGGCGGCUCACUGGGUCUUUCCUGACGCUGAGGAACGAAAGCUAGGGGAGCGAACGG
rnacentral:rRNA from 1 species